AAAGUUCUUUCUGGGACAGCUGGGGUCAGCCCACCGCUGGCUGUGCCCACCCCUGCUCGUCCCCUUCCACCUUCCCCCUCUGCGUGGUUGCCAGCGCUGCCCCGCUAGCCCACACAAACCAUUUUUCUCCAUGACAGACCUUCAGGUAUUUAGAAGCUGUAACCCUGUCUCCUCUGGGUGGGCACCCGGCCAGGCUGAACAUUCCAGGUCCCAAGAGAGGUUGCCGCUCGGACACGAGAGGAGGCCUUCCUUCCCUUGGCAAGUUCACUCUGCGAUGCCUGUCCUGGAGAUGGAGCCAAGGCACUGGCGCCCAGGAAGGGGCUGCCUGGGGCCAGGCUUCCCCCUGUCUCCAGCAACCUUGCAGAGUCUGGAACCUUGUAGAGGCUGGACACCAAGGCGGCCAGCUCCUUGCCCCCACUCUACAGAAGGGGAAACUGAGGGCUAAAAGCACUGCUCCAGAUCAGGCCUGGGCCCUUCUGCGCUCACGCCCUGGACCCCUUCCUGUGCAGCUGCUGAGGCAGCCCCCUGCGGCUGACCCCUCCUACUCUCCAGCAGGAAUCCAGAUGCACUCUCUCUCUCUUUUUUGGCCACAUUAGUGGCACAUUGAAGUUCCUGGACCAGGGAUUGAGCCUGUGCCACUGAAGUGAACAGAGCCUUGGAUCCGCUCA